rnacentral:rRNA from 1 species
AGAGUUUGAUCAUGGCUCAGGAUAAACGCUGGCGGCGUGCCUAACACAUGCAAGUCGAACGUCCUCCCCUUUCGGGGGGAGGCAGUGGCGGACGGGUGAGUAGCACAUGGGUGACCUGCCUUCCAGUGAGGAAUACCGGCGAGAAAUCGCCGACAAUGCCGCAUACGCUCGCGGGGUCACACUCGCGCGCAAAGCCUCGCAAGGGGCGCUGGAAGAGGGGCCCGUGGCCGAUUAGCUGGUUGGUGGGGUAAGAGCCUACCAAGGCGACGAUCGGUAGCUGGUCUGAGAGGACGAUCAGCCACACUGGGAUUGAGAACGGCCCAGACUCCUACGGGGGGCAGCAGUGAGGAAUUUUCCGCAAUGGACGCAAGUCUGACGGAGCAACGCCGCGUGCAGGAGGACGGUCUUCGGAUCGUAAACUGCUUUUCCCAGGGACGAGUACGGACGGUACCUGGGGAACAAGCCCCGGCUAACUACGUGCCAGCCGCCGCGGUAAUAC